GACGAACGCUGGCGGCGUGCCUAAUACAUGCAAGUCGAACGAGAGCGCCCGGUGCUUGCCCUGGUCAAUCUAGUGGCGAACGGGUGAGUAACACGUGGGUAACCUGCCCAUCAGAGGGGGAUAACAUUCGGAAACGGAUGCUAAAACCGCAUAGGUCUUCGAACCGCAUGGUUUGAAGAGGAAAAGAGGCGCAAGCUUCUGCUGAUGGAUGGACCCGCGGUGCAUUAGCUAGUUGGUGAGGUAACGGCUCACCAAGGCCGUGAUGCAUAGCCGACCUGAGAGGGUGAUCGGCCACAUUGGGACUGAGACACGGCCCAAACUCCUACGGGAGGCAGCAGUAGGGAAUCUUCCGCAAUGGACGCAAGUCUGACGGAGCAACGCCGCGUGAGUGAAGAAGGUGUUCGGAUCGUAAAACUCUGUUGUUAGAGAAGAACAAGUGCUAGAGUAACUGUUAGCGCCUUGACGGUAUCUAACCAGAAAGCCACGGCUAACUACGUG
rnacentral:rRNA from 1 species